AUGGAGAGAAAAAAUGAGUGUGUAGAGAAUCUGUUUGGCUGAUCCUCGUGAGGGUGAUGACGAAAUUGGAUUCCUAAAUUCAACUCUGUAACCAUUUUUCACCAUGCACCCUUUCAAAACAACAUGUCUCUGUUAACCAACUUUUUUUUUCUUUUUUCCUUUCUUUUCUUUUUUUCGUUUUCUUCUCUUUUUUUCUUUUUUUUUUUUCAAAAUAAUAAAAUUAAAUGAAAACUAAAAUUAAA
rnacentral:lncRNA from 1 species